rnacentral:rRNA from 1 species
AACCUUAGCCCCCAAAAUACCAUUAAUUUUCAUGAACCCCUAAUCUAUAAUGAAUGACUCCAUAUUUAUAUGGAAGACACCAUGCUAGGAUUAGUAACAAGAAUUUAUAAUUCUCCAAAAUGCAAAUAUAAACCAACAUGGAUGGACCAUUGGUAGUUACCGAACCUAAAUUCAAUGCAACAACACCUACAAGAAAACUCUGCAGUACUUACUCGUUAACCUAACACCAGCGCAUUACAGGAAAGAUUUAAAAAAAGAGAAGGAAUUCGGCAAAUGACGGCCCCGCCUGUUUACCAAAAACAUCGCCUCUUGACUUAUAAUAAGAGGUCCAGCCUGCCCAGUGAAUUUUAAACGGCCGCGGUAUCCUAACCGCGCGAAGGUAGCAUAAUCACUUGUUCUUUAAAUGGGGACUCGUAUCAACGGCAUCACGAGGGUUUUACUGUCUCCUCUUUUUGAUCAGUGAAAUUGAUCUUCCCGUGAAGAAGCGGGAAUAAAUUUAUAAGACGAGAAGACCCCAUGGAGCUUUAAACCAAAUAACAACUUAACCACUUAUCCCAUAAUAAAUUUAAGCCCUGUUAUAAGGUUUUUGGUUGGGGUGACCGCGGAGUAAAACACAUCCUCCACGACGAAAAAAACAGAAUUUUUAUUUAAGAACCACACUUCUAGAAAUUAGUAUACUAACGUUUACUGACCCGACAAUCGAUCAACGGACCAAGUUACCCUGGGGAUAACAGCGCAAUCUACUUCAAGAGCUCAUAUCGACAAGUAGGCUUACGACCUCGAUGUUGGAUCAGGGUAUCCCGGUGGUGCAGCCGCUACCGAAGGUUCGUUUGUUCAACGAUUAAAACCCUACGUGAUCUGAU